rnacentral:rRNA from 1 species
GAUGAACGCUGGCGGCGUGCCUAAUACAUGCAAGUCGAGCGAACAGACGAGGAUCUCUCUCCUCUGACGUUAGCGACGGACGGGUGAGUAACACGUAACCUACCUACCUAUAAGACUUGGACAACUUCGGCAAACCGGAGCUAAUACUGGAUACUAUAUCCAACUGGAUGGUUCUAUAGUGAAAGAUGGUUUUUCUGUCACUUAUAGGUCUAUCCGCGCGGCAUUAGCUAGUUGGGAAGGUAACGGCUUACCGAGGAACCGAUGCGUAGCCGACCUGGGAGAGUGGUCGCCCACACUGGAACUGAAACACGGUCCAGACUCCUAAGGGAGGCAGCAGUAGGGAAUCUUACGCAAUGGGCGAAAGCUUGACGGAGCAACGCCGCGUGGGUGAUGAAGGUCUUCGGAUCGUAAAACUCUGUUAUUAGGGAAGAACAAAUGUGUAAGGAAAUAUGCACGUCGUGACGGUACCUAAACAAAAAGCAACGGCUAACUACGUG